GUCACGUCACGUGCCGGCGCGCGGCGACGUGGCGGCCAUCUUGUGUUGUCGGGGCUGAGGGCUGACUGGGACUCCGAGAGACUCUCCGUCCGGGACCGCAGGUGCCAAGCUCCCUGUUAUCUGGGCUUGUUCCUGCUUUCAACAGAUCCUGAGUAAAGAAAACAUCAAAAGGAUACUGUACUUACUUCACAAGAAGGG